rnacentral:rRNA from 1 species
AUUGAACGCUGGCGGCAUGCUUUACACAUGCAAGUCGAACGGUAACAGGGAGCUUGCUCCGCUGGCGAGUGGCGAACGGGUGAGUAAUGCGUCGGAACGUGCCGAGUAGUGGGGGAUAACGCAGCGAAAGUUGUGCUAAUACCGCAUACGUACUGAGGUAGAAAGUGGGGGACCUUCGGGCCUCACGCUAUUCGAGUGGCCGACGUCUGAUUAGCUAGUAGGUGAGGUAAAGGCUCACCUAGGCGACGAUCAGUAGCGGGUCUGCGAGGAUGAUCUGCCACACUGGGACUGAACAACGGCCCAGACUCCUACGGGAGGCAGCAGUGGGGAAUUUUGGACAAUGGGCGAAAGCCUGAUCCAGCCAUGCCGCGUGUCUGAAGAAGGCCUUCGGGUUGUAAAGGACUUUUGUCGGGGAGGAAAUCCCCAGCGCUAAUACCGCUGGGGGAUGACAGUACCUGAAGAAUAAGCACCGGCUAACUACGUGCCAGCCGCCGCCGUAAAAC